UCUCAGUCUCUUGACCUUGUGAUCUGUCCACCUCGGCCACCCAAAGUGCUGGGAUUACAGGGGUGAGCCACCGUGCCCGGCCUGUAGGAUGUAUUCUUUUAAAAUUACAUUAAAAUUCUAACUGUUCUUCCAAGUCACUGUCCUUUAAUUAUUCCUAUUGAAGCAGAGUUUGAGGAUAAUGGUGGCCUGCUGAAUCUGAAAAUUCUGUAUAUAUAAAAAUAAUAGGAUCAACAAAGAGCAGAAAUAAAACCACAUGACUUACAUUUUUGUUAGGAGACGGGGAGUUCACGUUACUUGACAGCAAAGAAAUAAACAAUAGGUGAUAAAAGAGCUCCCACCACAGUCAUAAGCCUGUGGACUUGAAGAGCAGGAAUGAGAGGCUUAGAGAAGGGAGUGGAAGUCAUACAAUGAAUCAUCCUCAUAAA